GGCCCCUUCGUCUAGUGGUCUAGGACGCUGGCCUCUCACGCCGGCAACACGGGUUCGAGUCCCGUAGGGGUCACCA
rnacentral:tRNA from 2 species